rnacentral:rRNA from 1 species
UACGUAGGGGGCAAGCGUUGUCCGGAAUCAUUGGGCGUAAAGCGCGCGUAGGCGGCCCGGUAAGUCCGCUGUAAAAGUCCAGGGCUCAACCCUGGAAAGCCGGUGGAUACUGUCGGGCUAGAGUCCGGAAGAGGCGAGUGGAAUUCCUGGUGUAGGCGGUGGAAUGCGCAGAUAUCAGGAGGAACACCGAUGGCGAAGGCAGCUCGCUGGGACGGUACUGACGCUGAGGCGCGAAAGCGUGGGGAGCGAACAGG